AUUGAACGCUGGCGGCAUGCCUUACACAUGCAAGUCGAACGGUAACGGGUCCUUCGGGAUGCCGACGAGUGGCGAACGGGUGAGUAAUAUAUCGGAACGUGCCCAGUAGUGGGGGAUAACUGCUCGAAAGAGCAGCUAAUACCGCAUACGACCUGAGGGUGAAAGGGGGGGAUCGCAAGACCUCUCGCUAUUGGAGCGGCCGAUAUCAGAUUAGCUAGUUGGUGGGGUAAAGGCCUACCAAGGCAACGAUCUGUAGUUGGUCUGAGAGGACGACCGGCCACACGGGGACGGAGACACGGCCGAGCCUCAGACGGGAGGCAGCAGUGGGGAAUUUUGGACAAUGGGCGAAAGCCUGAUCCAGCAAUGCCGCGUGAAGGAAGAAGGCCUGCGGGUUGUAAACUGCUUUUGUCAGGGAAGAAAUCUUCUGGGCUAAUACCCCGGGAGGAUGACGGUACCUGAAGAAUAAGCACCGGCUAACUACGUGCCACCCGCCGCGGUAA
rnacentral:rRNA from 1 species